rnacentral:tRNA from 3 species
GUUAGCUCAGUUGGUAGAGCGCUCGGCUGUUAACCGAUAGGUCGUUGGUUCAAGUCCAAC